AGGAGGGGGAAGCAGGAGGAGGAGGGGGAGGAGGAAGGGCGUAAGGGACACCCACACCCCACACACAUCCACACACACACACACCCGCGCAGCCACAUAGAGAGGGAGGAAGGAGAGCGGCCCGGUGCGCGCGCGCAGAGAGAGAACCCGAGACAGAGAGAGGGAGAGGGUGAGAGAGAGAGCGAGAGCCAACCACCGCCGAGUCAAGAUUCAGCGAUUCCACAGCAAUCGCCCUAAUGACAACAGCCUCAUAAUAUCUCCCCUAAAUCCACAGCCUGGGUCCUUUUCUGCUCAGCUGCGAAGCUCUGGGCGGUCGUUCACUGCGGGCCCAGAAAGAGCCCUAAGCUCGUGACCCCGAAACUGCAUCCCCUGGAGCCGAGGACCCAAGGCGCCGAGCGGGCGGGUGAACCCAGCCAGUCCCCUCCCAGUCCCCGCAACCCCCGCCUUUGGGUUGGGGCGACCCGGCCUCUCCCUGCCGCCGCCGGGCCAGCGGCGGCAGGAGGCUGGGCAGGUGCCGCGGGCUCUGCCGAAAGCGCUGAAAUCGAAAACCGUCGCCGCUCUAGGAGAACUGAGGCAAGUGAGGCUGAGGCUCAGCUCGUCGACACCGCUGCCCCCAGCCUCGGCCCAGGAGCCUGCCGACCCGCCUGCACCCCUCCAGCUCCCGGGGUGUCCCCGGCUUGGGGGUGCAAAGCUGGGCGGAGGGCGGAGGCCAGGCGCGCAGCUUUGUGCGCCUGGCCAGGGCCGGGCGAGGCGGGGCAGGCGCGCAGCCCGGGGCUGUCAGAGCCUCCCCGCAGAGCCGAGCUCCGCGCCGCCCACCGAGCCCACCUCGCGGGCCGGCAGCUGCCAGAGCCUCUCCGCUCCAGCCCGAAGCACCACGCCCGCCGCCCAGAGCCCGUAAGUUGAGAGUCCAGGAUUCUGGGGGAGGGAGGCGGGGCGGCCGGUCCGCGGCGCGGAUGGCUGGACUGGUUCCCAGCAGAGCUGGGAGCGCAGGCUCCGCAGGGUGCGGGCUAGGGGUGCUGACCGGGUUGGGGGGGGGUGUGCAGCAUCAGAGCGUCCCCUCCCAAGUUCCCAGGCGCUUGUCUUUGGGGAGGGGAGUUAGGAGCAGAAGGACCUCGGGUUCUGCGGCCCAGGCCGCCUGCCCCAGUGCUCUGGGGACCUGAAGCACUGGGCAGCAGAAGGCCAGGAGGUGAGCACCCUGGAAGGGGAGGCGUGCUGGGGGGCUCCUGCGCCCUGGGUUUUUCAGAGAGGGGAGAUGGGGAUGGAUAGGUGAGCCAGCCAGGCCUCUAGGUCUCCUCUGCCCUCUGGCUGCUCUGACUCCGGGAUCUGAGAUUUGGCGCCGGAACAGGCCGAGGUCACAAAAUUGUCACCAUCGUUCCGGCUUUAAUCCUGGUCCAGGCGAUGGGAAAGACAGCAGUCCAUUUGAUGGGGGUGGGGGGAGAAAGGGCAUUUGGACUGGAGGAUGUCCUUCUGUUACCAGGACCUGCUGGGCAUUUAUUUACAAAUGUUAGCCCAGGAGGUCUCAACUCCAUCAGAAACGGUGCCUAAAAGAAUCCCACUCUCUCCUAGUUAGUUAGGGUUACCGGGAAAGCCAAGGAGUCUGGAAGCCUCCGAGAGAGGAAGCGCUGGGGCAGAUACACCCACUGGGCCUGGCUCAGCCCCAUAAGGCCGAUUCGUCCUGGGGGGCAACGCCCUUCGGGCCCCCAAGACUUCGGGAGGGUAGGGCCGGCUCGGCGGCCCGCGGUCUGGGCCUCCCCGCAAGCUGCAAACUGAGGCGCUUGGCGCCGGAGGCCGAGGAGGGCGCCGGGGAGCGCGGCAAGCAGGCGGGGAGGCCGAGAAGCCCUUCAAGGACCCCGAUUACUUUCCUUUGAAUGAAAAACAACAACAACAACAACAACUGCUCCCU
ensembl:lncRNA